rnacentral:rRNA from 1 species
GAUGAACGCUGGCGGCGUGCCUAAUACAUGCAAGUCGAGCGAACAGACGAGGAGCUUGCUCCUCUGACGUUAGCGGCGGACGGGUGAGUAACACGUGGAUAACCUACCUAUAAGACUGGGAUAACUUCGGGAAACCGGAGCUAAUACCGGAUAAUAUUUUGAACCGCAUGGUUCAAUAGUGAAAGACGGUCUUGCUGUCACUUAUAGAUGGAUCCGCGCUGCAUUGGCUAGUUGGUAAGGUAACGGCUUACCAAGGCAACGAUGCGUAGCCGACCUGAGAGGGUGAUCGGCCACACUGGAACUGAGACACGGUCCAGACUCCUACGGGAGGCAGCAGUAGGGAAUCUUCCGCAAUGGGCGAAAGCUUGACGGAGCAACGCCGCGUGAGUGAUGAAGGUCUUCGGAUCGUAAAACUCUGUUAUUAGGGAAGAACAAAUGUGUAAGUAACUGUGCACGUCUUGACGGUACCUAAUCAGAAAGCCACGGCUAACUACGUG